AGCUUUGAUCUAGUUAACCAACACUUUAUUCUUCAUACUUAGAACACUCGUGAAACUGCUCAGGCCAUCAAGGGUAUGCAUAUACGAAAAGCCACGAAGUAUCUGAAAGAUGUCACUUUACAGAAACAGUGUGUACCAUUCCGACGUUACAAUGGUGGAGUUGGCAGGUGUGCGCAGGCCAAGCAAUGGGGCUGGACACAAGGUCGGUGGCCCAAAAAGAGUGCUGAAUUUUUGCUGCACAUGCUUAAAAACGCAGAGAGUAAUGCUGAACUUAAGGUACCCAAACCACUAACAUCCUGUGCAACUUGGGUGGUUGUUUAAUUAAUGUUGGCUGUUCAGAUUUAUGUCCUUGAUUUUCUUGUUUUCAGUAAUUAACUCUUAGGAUUUUUUAAAUUUCUACCUGCAGUUUCCACAGAAUGAAACUAUUUCCUUUUAUUUUUUUUGAGUCCCUUUAUGGCAAAAUUCUGUG
rnacentral:lncRNA from 1 species